rnacentral:ncRNA from 1 species
UUAAAUGCUUAGAAAAGGACAACAAUUGUCUGUACGGCUUAAAGAGAGAGAAGCAACUGGUGAGAGCUUCUUAGUAACGGCAUUCAAUUUACCCCCUUGGAGCAGCGUCAGUGAAAGAGAACAGUAAUUGUCGCCGGAAGCGGUCCGUUAACCGAUCUUGAGCUUCGUCUAUACAAGGAUUUUCUUGUUUAGAAGGAAGAAGGGUGGAACCACGAGCACAAACCUCGUCCCUUUG